CUCACAUGUCAGCCAGGAGUGCAGUGGCACGAUCAUACCUCACUGUAACCUCGAACUCUUGGACUCAAGUGAUCCUCCCACCUCAGGCUCCCAAGUAGCUAAGACUACAGAUACACGUUGGUUCUGCAACACCAGGAAUGCCAGGAUGAUUUAGCCACCUCCUCACUUGUCUACCUUUCCCUCCCCUGCUUCAAAGACUUGGGUCGAUCGAAGCACCAAAGCAUCACUGUUGCUGACACUAACAAGUAGUGCCAAGGGAUUGCCUUUAAGGAAGAUCAGGAGCGGAACAUCUGGUGGCAAAGAAAAUCUUUCUAAUAGCCCCAUUCUAGUGACCACCUUCAACCUCCUCAUAGCAGGAGAGUUUGGGAGUAGGGGACUUAGGAUGUUUUGUUCUUUUAAUCAAUUCAGAAAAUAUGUAUGUUUGAAAUAAAAAUAAAAAUAC
rnacentral:lncRNA from 1 species